ensembl:lncRNA
CCACACAGAGGAAAAAGCAGCAUUCUGCUGACCUUCAGACCGACAGCCUAAUGGCAGAAUACCCUGCCAAGGCACAACGGGUAGUGACUCAGGUCAUAAGAGAUUCUCCUUUAACCGUGAACAUCCUGUCAGCCCACGUCUCCUCAAAGACCAUUGCUGAGGCCUCAACUCACGUUCUUGAGUCCCUUCUAGUGGACUUAAACGAGGCAGUUGAGGUGAGUAGGGCAGAGCGGAGCAAGUUCUGGGAACAGGUCCAGUUAUCCUCCCAGAAACUUUACAGCACAGCUGUGGACAAGCUGAAGAGUUUGUACACUGGUUGCCUCCUCAACAACGAGCAAGACCACCAGGAUACCCAUGUAACCGCUGACAAAAUCCAGGACAUGGAAGUGUCUACCAACAAUGACCUCAAAGACCCAACAGUUGCAGUCAGCCAAGAGUUAGUCCGACACAGCGCAAAGAAGAUCCUCACAAAGGUUCUGAAUGUGAUCAAAGCCGGAGUAGCUGGCUCAGAGCACUCAUCUGUGGGCGAGCAGAUGACCGAAGAGUGCCAAGUUGCCACAGAGAUGUUGGACUCCAUUCUGAACAGACUAGAAGAUGAUGAGCCUGAUGUGGGUGAAGAGGAUCAUCUUCAUGUGAUGUCUGUCCGUGACAUCUACGAGGAUGUCUCAUCUAAAACCUCUCAGGUUUGUAUGGUGAUGAGUAGCCAGGCGAUGGACGCGUUGACCGAUGAUGUGUCUGCCGCGACCUAUGUGCAUGAUAUUGUGUACAGGUCAGAGAGUUGUCUCUCUCAGGCCACAAGUACCCACAGGUCAGGCACUAGCCAGGCCUCCAGUGACCUUGUUGUUGAGUACAUGUCUGAGCUCCAUGCCAACUGCCUUGACACCGCAUUGCCUGUGAGGUGCACUUCUACAGCUGUUGGCGAUACAGAGACUUGUCAUGUCCCCUCUGCCAGAGUGAAGAAGAAGAGUCAGGGCCGGAGGUUCAGUUGCUGCCCAAAGUUGCCAACGGUCAGGAUCAAGAUGAUGAUCAUGCUGUCCCAUUCAUUCCCCAACUUGAGGACGACCUGCCACCAGCACCUGCACAGGAGUCCCGUAAACGUCCCCUGUUUGUGAGAAUGUUCCGGGCCAUUUCCAGGGCCAUCUCAAAGCCAUUCAAGGGCUGUGCUUUUUGCAAGAAGAAUUAGGAAAGGGUUAGCCAUCAACAUCUAAUAAACAUAUUAGCACCAUUGAUUUGUGUGUCUGCAGUCAAAUUUAAUAGACUCUCUUGACAUGGCAUUUUAGCAGACCCUUAUCCAGAGCAACUAGGGUUAAGUGCCUAAGUCAGUUUGGAGAUACAAACCAGUGACCUUUUGGUUAUUGGCCCAACACUCUUAACCACUAGGCUACCUGCCACUGCAUGGGUUUUACCAUAUUGCUUAUUCUUUUUUGAUUCCUUCCUAUCUGCAAAGAGGUUGACCCAACUGAACAUUUCACACCAGAUUUCUAUGUUCCAUUUGCUGUUUUAAGUACAUGAUUUCAAUAUAUGUAAUAUACUUGCAAACUGAGAAGGCAUUUGACACCAGAUUUGUUUGUUUUGACCUUGGUGAAAAUGUGUUUAUAUGACAUUGCAGCACAAUAUUAAUAUAAUAAGUGUCUUUUUCAACACAUUUUGAUGCAUACAUUUCCAGUGGGGGGAGGGGUAUGGUUUGUGGCCCAUUAUAUUCUAUACAGCUCUUCGGGAGAGGUUGCCAAGGUCAAAGUAGAGCUAUUAUCAUCCUGCUGAUCAUACAGUAUUUGGAAUGAAGAAGGGUCCAUUAAUAGGGGCUAGG